UGAGCUCGAUGAGUAGGGCGGGACACGUGGUAUCCUGUCUGAAUAUGGGGGGACCAUCCUCCAAGGCUAAAUACUCCUGACUGACCGAUAGUGAACCAGUACCGUGAGGGAAAGGCGAAAAGAACCCCGGCGAGGGGAGUGAAAAAGAACCUGAAACCGUGUACGUACAAGCAGUGGGAGCACGCUUAGGCGUGUGACUGCGUACCUUUUGUAUAAUGGGUCAGCGACUUAUAUUCUGUAGCAAGGUUAACCGAAUAGGGGAGCCGAAGGGAAACCGAGUCUUAACUGGGCGUUAAGUUGCAGGGUAUAGACCCGAAACCCGGUGAUCUAGCCAUGGGCAGGUUGAAGGUUGGGUAACACUAACUGGAGGACCGAACCGACUAAUGUUGAAAAAUUAGCGGAUGACUUGUGGCUGGGGGUGAAAGGCCAAUCAAACCGGGAGAUAGCUGGUUCUCCCCGAAAGCUAUUUAGGUAGCGCCUCGUGAAUUCAUCUCCGGGGGUAGAGCACUGUUUCGGCAAGGGGGUCAUCCCGACUUACCAACCCGAUGCAAACUGCGAAUACCGGAGAAUGUUAUCACGGGAGACACACGGCGGGUGCUAACGUCCGUCGUGAAGAGGGAAACAACCCAGACCGCCAGCUAAGGUCCCAAAGUCAUGGUUAAGUGGGAAACGAUGUGGGAAGGCCCAGACAGCCAGGAUGUUGGCUUAGAAGCAGCCAUCAUUUAAAGAAAGCGUAAUAGCUCACUGGUCGAGUCGGCCUGCGCGGAAGAUGUAACGGGGCUAAACCAUGCACCGAAGCUGCGGCAGCGACGCUGAUGCGUUGUUGGGUAGGGGAGCGUUCUGUAAGCCUGUGAAGGUGUGCUGUGAGGCAUGCUGGAGGUAUCAGAAGUGCGAAUGCUGACAUAAGUAACGAUAAAGCGGGUGAAAAGCCCGCUCGCCGGAAGACCAAGGGUUCCUGUCCAACGUUAAUCGGGGCAGGGUGAGUCGACCCCUAAGGCGAGGCCGAAAGGCGUAGUCGAUGGGAAACAGGUUAAUAUUCCUGUACUUGGUGUUACUGCGAAGGGGGGACGGAGAAGGCUAUGUUGGCCGGGCGACGGUUGUCCCGGUUUAAGCGUGUAGGCUGGUUUUCCAGGCAAAUCCGGAAAAUCAAGGCUGAGGCGUGAUGACGAGGCACUACGGUGCUGAAGCAACAAAUGCCCUGCUUCCAGGAAAAGCCUCUAAGCAUCAGGUAACAUCAAAUCGUACCCCAAACCGACACAGGUGGUCAGGUAGAGAAUACCAAGGCGCUUGAGAGAACUCGGGUGAAGGAACUAGGCAAAAUGGUGCCGUAACUUCGGGAGAAGGCACGCUGAUAUGUAGGUGAAGUCCCUCGCGGAUGGAGCUGAAAUCAGUCGAAGAUACCAGCUGGCUGCAACUGUUUAUUAAAAACACAGCACUGUGCAAACACGAAAGUGGACGUAUACGGUGUGACGCCUGCCCGGUGCCGGAAGGUUAAUUGAUGGGGUCAGCGCAAGCGAAGCUCUUGAUCGAAGCCCCGGUAAACGGCGGCCGUAACUAUAACGGUCCUAAGGUAGCGAAAUUCCUUGUCGGGUAAGUUCCGACCUGCACGAAUGGCGUAAUGAUGGCCAGGCUGUCUCCACCCGAGACUCAGUGAAAUUGAACUCGCUGUGAAGAUGCAGUGUACCCGCGGCAAGACGGAAAGACCCCGUGAACCUUUACUAUAGCUUGACACUGAACAUUGAGCCUUGAUGUGUAGGAUAGGUGGGAGGCUUUGAAGUGUGGACGCCAGUCUGCAUGGAGCCGGCCUUGAAAUACCACCCUUUAAUGUUUGAUGUUCUAACGUUGACCCGUGAUCCGGGUUGCGGACAGUGUCUGGUGGGUAGUUUGACUGGGGCGGUCUCCUCCUAAAGAGUAACGGAGGAGCACGAAGGUUGGCUAAUCCUGGUCGGACAUCAGGAGGUUAGUGCAAUGGCAUAAGCCAGCUUGACUGCGAGCGUGACGGCGCGAGCAGGUGCGAAAGCAGGUCAUAGUGAUCCGGUGGUUCUGAAUGGAAGGGCCAUCGCUCAACGGAUAAAAGGUACUCCGGGGAUAACAGGCUGAUACCGCCCAAGAGUUCAUAUCGACGGCGGUGUUUGGCACCUCGAUGUCGGCUCAUCACAUCCUGGGGCUGAAGUAGGUCCCAAGGGUAUGGCUGUUCGCCAUUUAAAGUGGUACGCGAGCUGGGUUUAGAACGUCGUGAGACAGUUCGGUCCCUAUCUGCCGUGGGCGCUGGAGAACUGAGGGGGGCUGCUCCUAGUACGAGAGGACCGGAGUGGACGCAUCACUGGUGUUCGGGUUGUCAUGCCAAUGGCACUGCCCGGUAGCUAAAUGCGGAAGAGAUAAGUGCUGAAAGCAUCUAAGCACGAAACUUGCCCCGAGAUGAGUUCUCCCUGACUCCUUGAGAGUCCUGAAGGAACGUUGAAGACGACGACGUUGAUAGGCCGGGUGUGUAAGCGCAGCGAUGCGUUGAGCUAACCGGUACUAAUGAACCGUGAG
rnacentral:rRNA from 1 species